rnacentral:rRNA from 1 species
GAUCCCAUCAGAACUCCGAAGUAAGCUUAACUUGGGCGAGAGUAGUACCAGGAUGGGUGACCUCUAGAGAAGUCCUCGUGUUGCACCCC